GUGGCUGUACCAAUUUAAAUUCCCAUCAGCAGUGGAAGAUUUUUAAAAAGUUAAAUGAAAUCUCGGAAGCUAGGCAGAAUCGGGUCUGGUUAGUACUUGGAUGGGAGACCAUUUAGGAAUACCAAGUGCCAUAGGCG
rnacentral:rRNA from 1 species